rnacentral:lncRNA from 1 species
CAGGGCUUUCCUGAUGGUCUCCUUUGCCUUCCUUCUCCACUAAGGAGGACAGCCAGCAGCAGCUCAGCCCAUGCUGUUAACCCACCUUUUCCACACACGCCAGCCCCCUGUCCACAGCACCCAAGGCUGCCUGAGGGAUCCUUCCGCAGCUCCUAUGCGCUGACAGUGACUCUCGUGUUUCCUAGGUUUCAAGUUUCUUUCAGCAGAGCUUCCUAGAGAGAAGUCCACAGAGAAAGUCGUGGCCGUUUUCAAAAGGGACUCAGCGCUUUGGGCAAGCGGUCCCAUGGAGGGUCCCGUGGAAAAAUUCAUCUAUGAAUCAGAUGAGGAGGCCCCACGACAGUGGCAGGCCGGCGGACUGCCUGAAGAAAAAGGUGUGUGUGCUGGAAUCACUCCUUUGCUAAGAAAAGAUCGUCAGGGUUGCAAAAGGUGGCACUUGCUCGCCUGCUUUUGCUGGAGAGCCACUUUGGUUUGAGCUUCCUGAGAGAAAUGAGGUUUGGACAGUUUGGUAUAAAAAACACUGAGUCCAGCAGAGAACUAUGACCAUCACUCGAAUCCGGGGAGGCAGGAUUGUCAUGUAGAUGGAACAGUGUGUUGUGCCUCAGGGUCGGGAGGUACGGAGGAGAGAGUCAUGUGGAGGGAUUGGGAAUGUCUUUGGGAGUGUGUGGGCAUUUCCCCAGAAAGCAUGUUCCCCUGUGCAGAGCACAACCCAAGGAGCAAUGUUUCUAAGAAGUUGCAUCACCACUGCACACUUCACAUAAAGUAACGCAUUCAUCCUCCCCCACAGCUGUACCUGAAGGUAAAUUUUAUAUCCUCAUCCUCAGAUAGAGACGGUGCAGAGAUGAAUUUCCCAGGCUCUCAAUCUCCUAAAUGGAAGAGGCGAAUGUGAACUCAGCAAUGGGAGGAGGAUUGGUACAGUGGGUGACUAUUGUGCAUUCACCAGCCAGCCCUGGUAUAACUCACCAUUAGUCCAGGGAGUUCCGGCCUCUGUGUGUGCAUGUGGAAGGAGGAGAGCCUAGAGAGGUCCCAACACUGUCUGUCAUUGUAGGCAGGGCUCAAAGGCUGCCUAACCCAGGGUUGCAGUAGGUACAUUUUACACUGGACUUUGGUGUGGUCAUUAGUGUGAAACACACAGAGCGAGCUCACAGGCUUCUGGCAGUAGUGGUGGGGUCAUUUCUCAGCUCGUGGUCAAAAGCAG